GGGAGUAAGGGGGUGGGAGGGAGUCUGCUGCUAUUUCUACAGUCAGUCCGGGCCUCCCCGCCACCGCCGCCGCCGUCGCGGCCGUCGCCCACCCUCCCUUCCACAGACGGACCUUUUCUUCCCUUUUUUUUUUCACUCUCUUUUUCAGGCUUUGGAUUUUAACCCCUCUGCCUCCAACUUGCUGCGAAAAAAAAAGCUUGCAACAAGUUGCCUUUUCGCACUUUUUUUGCGCACCCAUUUUUUAUUUCCCCGCGCUUUGGACUAUGCUGUUUUUAACAUGUCAUUUAUUAUUUUUUUGCAAUUAAAAAAAAUAUUCUCUGCAUGCUUUUGGAGGAUUUGGAGCGAAACAGGAGGAGGGUUCUGGUACAAGCUGCUGACCUGGUCGGACCUGGUCCUCUCACUUGCAUGCCCCUUCCCGACUGGCGAUACAGCGGGUCCGGCCGAGCCGAGUCAAAACUUCAAACAAAAGCAAUGAAGGGUAGCAAAUGUUAGUAAAUGUAAUUUUGAUGAUUUUGCAGCAGAUGGCUGUCUUGUGUGUUGUGUAGCUUCUGUGGGUGUGUGUGUGUGUGUGUGUGGGUGUGUGUGUGUGUAUAGCAGGCCUUGAAUACUUUUUUCAACUCAAGAAGUGAAGGCAUCUCGCCAAGAGAUCACAAAGCGAGCGUGCAAACAAGGGGCAUGCAGAUAGCCAGAGCACCAGAACCAGACCCGGACCCAGACUCGGGCCGUAUGCUGCUUUGCAUCCAUGGCACCGUUUCGUUUUGAGUCUUAUUUGCUAACAUUCCUCAUGCGCUACUGGACUAGCAGCCUCAUGGCCUCCUAUUGUUUCAGGCCCGACUUGAACUCGGGGGGCUCAGACCGCGGCCAGAGGAGGGAGCGAGGGCCCGUCGGUGCUGAGAUUGCGGGCCGGAACCGGGAAGAGGAGGGAGAAGUGAGGAGGGAAACACACACACAGGAGAGGGAAACCAGACUCUCUGCAAAUCCCGCAUCCUCCGAGACGGGAAGUUGUGACUUGGUCAACCACUGCCACCAAGCUGUGAAACCAUGAGCGCUGUUCAUUGACGUAAGUACCAAACGUGUUUUAUUGUUGUGAAAAGCGCCACCAAGCUAAUAAUGACCUUAUUAGACGCACAAAUGCCAUCUUCAGCCCUAAUUGGCCGCGAGGCGCAGCUCGACUCCGCUCUAGUGAGAAAAUGGUUUCCACUCUCUUGCCUUCCAGCUCCGCGUCGCCAUUUUGUGCGGCGCUGCCAAAGGAGUCGGGCAGCGAGACGAGAGGGAGGAAGAAAGCAAGCGGGCGCGUUAAAAAAAGAAGCCGCGGGAGGGGGCGGUGCAACACGGACCAUCCUGUGUCUUAAUUGUGCACAUAAAAACUUGACCUCUGGAUGCUUCCUUGCUGGAAAAGCGGGUGCUCGCGUACCUGUCUCCACCCGAGCUGCAACACACUACAGUGUUAGCGGGAGCCUCGGCCCCCGGCAUGCACUCGCUAACCUCAGGCCCCGCCCCUCCAGCCUCCAGCAAGCUGGGCUUAAAUGCCAGGCAUUUGAUUACAUGCGCAGAUGUUAGUCAGAUCCUCCCAACUUUUACUCCGACUGUCUCUUGCAAAAAAAAAAACUUAAAAAAAACAACCUCACACCAGCUUUUUAUUUUUUAAAGGAAAUGUGUGUGUGUGUGUGUGUGUGUGUGUGUGUGUGUGUGUGUGUGUGUGUGUGUGUGUGACAGAGAAAGAUGGCUGCCAGGAAGGAGUUGGCCUCUUAAAUAUUUCAGAUAAUGGCGUUUCUUUGGAAAAUGUUGCUGAUAUUUUUUUCAUUUUACCUCAGCUGCUCUGAGUUCAGGCAGAGUUUAAACAAGAGACUGGUGUGUGUGUGUGUGUGUGUGUGUGUGUGUGGGUGUGUGUUGACACACAGAAUAGUGCAGCUUGAUAAGCCUACUGUAGAGUACAUGCAGCUCAUGUGCUAGUAGGCACACCUGCUCACUCUUUACAUUUACAUUUAUGAUUGACACUUUUUAGUCUGUGAAAUAAAACCUGAAACUCUUCAUUUUUUCAAUACUAUAUUCAAUACUGUAUAGGUCACAUAUAAAUAACAAUAAAAUAAUAAUUAAAAUAUUAAAAAUAGUUGAAAAACCAAAUAAACUUAACAAAUUUGCUAUUAUUGCUAUUUUUUGGAUAACAUUUGGACAGUAAUCUCCAAAAUUAUUCAUACCCUGGCAACCUUUUUUUUUCCAGUAAUAUAUUUAAUACUGUGUCGGUAAAAUACUAUAAGUACAAUAAAAUGGUAAAAUAUAAAUACAAUAAAGUAACUGGAAAAUAUUAAAAUAUUAAUAAAAUAAAAUGUAACAAAUAUUUUCUAUUAUCGCUAUUUUGGACAAUUUUUUUUUUAGAUAUUUUUUCAAUACAACAUUUAAUACUGUGCACGUAAAACAUAAAAACAAUUAAAUAAUAAUGAAAGCAUUAAAAAUAGUAGAAAAAAUAAAAUACAUAUUUGCUAUUAUCUCUAUUUUUUGUGCAAUAAUCUCAAAUUAUUCACACCCUGGCAACAUAGACAUUUUUUUUUCAGUAUAAUAUUUAAUACUGCGCAGGUUAAAUACAGUAAAAUAUAUAUUCAAUAAAAUAAUAACUAAAAUAUUAUAAAUAGUCGAAAAAAUAAAAUACAUGUAACUAAUAUAGCUGCACCGUGGCCAAGUGGUCUGGAGAUGGGUUUGACUCUCCGCUUGGGCAUCUCUAUGUGGAGUUUGCAUGUUCUCCCCGUGCGUGUGUGGCUUUUCUCCGGGUACUCCGGUUUCCUCCCACAUUCCAAAAACAUGCAUGUUAGGUUCAUUGGAGACUCUAAAUUGUCCAUAGGUAUGAAUGUGAGUGUGAAUGGUUGAUUCUCUUUAUGUGCCCUGACAUUGGCUGCUGACUUCGGACCACUAGGCCACCAUGCGGCCCCGACGUAAAACAUAAAUACAAUAAAAUAAUAAUGAAAAUAUUAAAAAUAAACCAAACAUUUGCGAUUAUCCCUAUUUUUUUGUGCAAUAAUCUCCAAAAUUAUUCAUACCCUGGCAACAUGAGAGAAUUUUUUUUUCAGUACAAUACUUAAUACUGCAUAGGUUAAAUACAAUUAAAUAUAAAUACAAUAAAAUAAUAACUAACAGAUUAAAAAUAAUAAAAGUAUUGGAUAUUAUCCGACACAAUCCGACACAAUUGUGCAAAAUGCUGCUUUUGUUUUUUUUUUUUUUUAAAUCAAAAUCAUCCGAUAAAAUCAGGCAUUUCGAAAAGACAAAUAUUUUAUUUAAAAAUUGCACAAAAAAAAAAAUACUUUUGUGAAUAUUUUGAUAAAUAAUUUUAGAAUAAUUGCAUUUAUAAGUCCAACACGAUCGUGCAAAAUACUGAUUCUUUCAAAAUCAUCCAGUCAAAUCAAGCAUAUAGAAAAGACAACAAAUUAUGAAUAUUUUAUAAAAAAUUGUAAGAAAAGAAUUUUUGUGAAUAUUUUAAUAAAUAUUUUUAUGAUUUUAGUCCCGAAACGAUUGUGUAAAAUACAGAUUUUAAUCAAAAAUAUAGAAAAAAAAUUGUGACUAUCUUAAUAAGUAUUUUAAAAAUAAUUCUAUUGGUGAAUAUUUUAAUAAACAUGUUUUAAAUCAUUUUAUUUCCCAGCUACUCACUUGAACUCAAUGUAUUUGUAUGCUGUAUUUGUUUGCUGUCAUAAAACCUUUAUUAACGGCAUCGAUAAUAUUUCAAACUGACAUUUUAACAUUCCCAACUAUCAUAAGUGUCAAAAGAGGUUGAGCACGCCACUGAAUAAAACCACAAACAAGUAAAAGUACUCUGUAUUUUACUACUAUAUACUGUGUGUGUGUGUGUGGCCUGUAGUCAUUUUGCACACAGCAGCAGAUUUCGACUGUAGGUGCAAAAUAUAGGAAAGCAACCCCCCCCCACCAAAAAAAAAAAAAAGCCCAUUUAGUUGCUUCUCGGGUUGACAGUCAGUGGCUUGAUUUGCAGGUCAGAAUGUCCCCUUUGGCUUCCUGAUGGGGGAGCCUCAUAUGGGGGGGCAUUUAAUUGUAAAUGCUUUGUGCGUAAGCGUGCUGGUUGUGUGUUUCUGGGGCGCAUAUCUCCGCAGCGUCAGCAGAUGGCAGAUGGCAGGGCAACAUGUAACAUAUCACGCCUCGUGGCGGUGACGCACAGCACUCGCGUGUAGGCACAAGUGCACAGACGACGCGACGCCACAAACAUCAUCCCCAUCCAACACGCGGGGGGGGGGGCUUAUUCUGAAAAUGUCUAAAUCAGGGUGCAUUGCUUUUAUAUUGUGCUUGAUUUUGGCAGCGUCGCCCGGCCGGAGCUGAUAGCUGCUGCCAAGCUGCACAAUAGCUCGCCACUGCGGUUAGCUAGCGCCGCACUCCCAGGCCACGUCGCCGCUAACUAACCAUGGCGGCGGCUCUGACGACAGCGGGGGCCGUAAACGGGACGGUAAUGGUCUCCUCAAGGUUACAGACACCUCCAGUCUGCCCACUCCAGCGGCGGGUCUCAAGUUCACAUGCAGCCCAUUCCGGAGAGGUAUGUCGCGGUGGGGGGCGGGGGGGUGUUUAAAUAUAUCAAGCGACAGACGAAGCUUGAUGGGGCGCUGCCCGUCGGGUGGGUGGAGCGGAGCAUGCAGACUAGCAACGUCCAUCAAUGUACCUGUCAAAGGUUGGAAGACAAUUUGCUAUGCUACUGAAUGAGAGAGUGUCUCCAACUCCUUUUUAUACUAAAAACAAAGAAAUUUGUUGUAUUUUUGCAAUGGAAGACACACACAAAUAGUGUUUUGAGGAGAAGACAUAAUUAGUAUCAUGACACAUAGCAAAAUUGUUCUGUGACACUUGGAAGAAGUUAGAAUUUAUCCCUUGAACGUGGUGACUUGCCUGUGGCACAAAAACGAGCUCAGAACUAAUUUGCUUGUUUGUUGUACAGAAAAUGUGACUGUGGUAAAAAGUCACACUGGGAGUCCGAAGAUCGGAAGCUAGGCGGAUAACUCCAGCUACGCAAAGCGUGUAAACAAAGAUGCAAGAAAAGUCGAACAAUAAGGGAGCGAUCAAACACACUGGCAUCGACUGGCGUAGCCUACGUCAGGUGAAUGAAGCCACGGGAGUUUUACAGACUGAUGUUGAUUCUCGCAGCAAUGCUUGUCGACUCAAUGCGGGUGUUUGCAACCCUACGUGGCACAGCACACGUACAUGCAGGGUUUGCUGCCUCACGCCGCUCAGGUUUUCUGAUCGGCUUUGAAAGGCCCAUCACGUGUUUUCUACGGAAAUCGGCCGAUACUUGAUGGGAACAUCUGUAAUAUUACCAUUAUUAACAUGCAGUGUUUUUAAGUAAAAAAUAAAUAAAUAUACCGAUGGAAAUAAUGAACAUAUGCACACGACUUUCUUUACUUUAAAACUACUUGUUUUUUUUGUAUUAAGUGUCAUAUUUUCCCGUAGGAAAAUGAAAACAAGCUACACAAACAACUUUAAGUCAUAAAAAAUGCUAUAAAUAAUGGACAUGCACACAUCUAACACUAUCUAAAAUAUUGUUUUUGUACCAUUUUUUUGUAAAUUUAUACAUUUCUUAAACGUUUCCCAUCGGCGAUAAUGGCAGUAGAAAUAAUCUGCUCCUGUGUCAACACGUGUCCACCCUAAAACCUUUAUUAACUCUGCAGGCAAUGUUUUGAAGUGUCAUGUUUCACAUUCUUAACUGUCACACAAAUGGAAAAACGUUAAACCAGCCUGCUAACAGUAUACACUGAAACUGAAACAGUCUGUUCCCGGGUCAACCUAUGGCCACUAUAAACUCAUUAACUGUACAGCAAAUGUGUUUUAUUUUCACAUUCUUGACUGUCAUGCUAGUGCAAAAAAACCCACACACAUUUAAAUAGAUUAAUAAAUAAAUAAAAAUGGAAACUAUCUGUUCCAGCGUCAACCUCCUGCCCGCCUGUAAAACCUACAAGUGUGCAGUAAAUGUUGAAAGUAAUAUUAUAAAGUGUGUGUGUGUGUGUGUACAUACGGCUUGUACAGUAGAAUGCCACAUUGACUCCUAUUGAUUUGCAUGCACGACUUGAAUGCUAUCUACAUCAUGUGUAGGUGACUGAGAGGUCAGCCUGUCUGAGCUGAAUCCCCCUGUGCCCCCCCACCAUGACAUGCGUAACAGGACCUGUCCAUGCUGCUUCCUCCUCCCUCGCUGCUGUACCCACCCCCCGCCCCUCCAGUCGUGGUACAUAUAAAUAGAUGGCUCAUGCCUGCUGUGGUGCUACCCUCAGGGGGCUGGGGGGGGGGGUCGGAGCCAUGCUUUCUAAACGCUCCACCUCGUCUUUCUGCUGGAUUCCUUCUGUCUGCACUGGACUCGUUGCAGGGCAAACAUGCUAAUAAUGCGCGCCGCUUAAAUACACAAACAGGCAAAACUGGGGGAUCACGUUGCUCGUAUCACCGUCUAACCUGUACGAACAUGUAAGGUACAAAUGAUCAUUUGCAUGCGUACGCUUUUAGUAUGUGUACAGUGGAACCUCUUCAAGUGGAAAAAUAAGUUAACCACUGUAAAAUGUAAAAAACAUACACACUGGAGUCGCCAAUUUUGAAAAAGUAAUGCGAGAGUGAGUCACGGGGCUGACGAUUUAUAACAUUCUUAAUUGGUAUGCAUGAAUUACGUUAAAAUUUUUUGCGUGAUUAAUGCAUGCACAUCAUGUCAAGCCACACCUCUCGGUUAUGAUGGCAGACUGAGGAACAACAGCCUUUCCACACAGUCACACAGAGUCUGAAUCUUUUGUACCUUUAUUCUGACCGGAACACAUCAACAGCAGUACAAUUCCAACACCAUAUAUGCAAAGUGGUUUUUAAAUUACACGUAUUAUUAAGGGAGAAAAACAAUCCAAACCUACAUGGUCCUGUGUAAAAAGUGAUUGCUCUAACUGGUUGGCCACCUUUAGCAGCAACAACUGCAAUCAAGCGUUUGUGAUAACUUGCAAUGAGUCUCUUACACGCUGUGGAGGAAUUUUGGCCAACACAUCUUUGCAGAAUUGUUGUCAUUCAGCCACAUUGGAGGCUUUUCCAGCAUGAAGCGCCUUUUUAAGGUCAUGCCACAGCAUCUCAAUAGGAUUCAGGUCAGGACUUUGACUAGGCCACUCCAAAGUCUUCAUUUGGUUUUUCUUCAGCCAUUCAGAGGUGGGCUUGCUGGUGUGUUUUGGAUCAUUGUCCUGCUGCAGAACCCAAGUUGGUUUCAGCUUGAGGUCACCAACAGAUGGCCGGACAUUCUCCUUCAGGGUUUUUUGGUAGAAAGCAGAAUUCAUGGUUCCAUUUAUCACAGCAAGUCUUCCAGGUCCUGAAGCAGCAACACAGCCCCAGACCAUCAUACUACCACCUCCAUAUUUUACUGUUGGUAUGAUGUUCUUUUUCUGAAAUGCGGCGUUACUUUUACGUCACACACCUUCCACACACCUUCCAAAAAGUUCAACUUCUGUCUCGUCAGACCACAGAGUAUUUUCCCAAAGGUCUUGGGGAUCAUCAAGACGUUUUCUGGCAAAAUUGAGACGAGCCUUAAUGUUCUUUUUGUUCAGCAGUAGUUUUUGUCUUGGAAUUCUGCCAUGCAGGCCGUUUUUGCCCAGUGUCUUUCUUAUGGUGGAGUCAUGAACACUGACCUUAACUGAGGCAAGUGAGGCCUGCAGUUCUUUGGAUGUUGUUGUGGGGUCUUUUGUGACUUCUGAGUCGUCGCUGUGUUCCUGGGAAGGUUCACCGCUGUUACCAUGUUUUUGCCAUUUGUGGAUAAUAGCUCUCACUGUUGUUCGCUGGAGUCCUAAAGCUUUAGAAAUGGCCUUAUGACCUUUUCCAGACUGAUAGAUCUCAAUUAAUCGCAGUUAAGCUAUCUUUUAACAGGGGGCCAUGUAGGUUUGGAGGUUUUUUCUCCCUUAAUAAUAAUAAGCAUAUUUCCCACAUAGUUGCAAAUGGUGAUUAAUCAUGAUUAUUUUGUAUUUUGAAAACUGCUAUUAAUUUGAUUAAAAUGUUGAAUCAUUUGACAGCGCUAAAAAUACGUUUACCCCCUGUUGCUAGUGAAACACAGCAGUAAUAGGACUGCUAAUAGGCUUCCAGGGUCAAGCUGUGGCCAACCUAUAUUAAGUGUACAGUCAGAGUGUUUUAAGUCGCGCUGUAGCUGUCUACAAGUGUAAAAAUAAGUUAACCACUGUUAAAAGUCCAGCGAAAAAACACAAGCACGGAAUGUACGGAUGGUUGAGUAAGUGUAAGAAAGAGAUUAGGGACUGUUAGGAGAAAUGGAUUUGAAUCAUACGUAAACUUGAAAGUUUAAAAAGAAGUGAAGCACUAUUGAUCGGAGAAAUGGAUUUGAAUCAUACGUGUUAAAGUGGUUGCAUAGCCAUUGAAGAAAGGUAUUUGAAUGCUAGUAAAUGGUGUUUAAUAUGGUGUAUUGCACACGUUGUACAGUUACUGUGUUUAUGAUGGUGCAUUGUACACACUGCACGUGUGUGUCAGUGUCCACGUGCAAUACGAGCGUCCACACAACGGACAGUGAAACUUGCAGAUCACAUGACAAGGUUAGGACAGUGAAGCCCAUAGAUCACAUGUCAAGGUUAGAGCACUUUGUCGGGGUCUACCGCUGCACUGACACUUUUUAUUGAUCUGCAGCACUUAAGACUAUUUAAGUGUGAUUGGAUCAAAGUGCCUUUUCCAGUCUCUCAUGAUGGACUUGUUGUGCUUUUACGGCUUUGUCCGUGUGUGUGGGACAUGGCGUGCAUAGAGAAAGGCUUAAGGUGCGAGACCCGAGCAGCGAUCGCUUACAAGGUCUCCGCUUUCACGUCUGAGCUUCUUGCUGAGCUUGCACACGUCUAAGAAUCCCUGCUGGCACUCUUCAUAGCAAACAAGUGUUUUUAGCUUCCAGUCUGCUUUAAUGUGUGUGUGUGUGCGUGCAUGUAUGGAUGAUAACUUGGAAGCAGACUAACAAGCUGUAUAUGAGAAUGAACCAUACCCACUCGCCGCAUGCUAUCACCUGACAGAGGAGAACUCUUUUUUUUUUGCAGUAGGUCCUUAAAAAAUUCUGGGUGGGUUGCCAACAGCAAAAAAAUUACGUAAAUAAAAGUUAUUUUAUUUUUUAUUUUUAUUUUUUUACACAUUUAAGUCUAUUUUAUUAUGUAUCUUUUUUAUUUAUACCAAUAUUAUUUUUAAUUUUAUUAUAUAUAUAUAUAUAUAUAUAUACAUAUAUAUAUAUUUAAAUUUUUUUUAUUAUUAUGACUUAUUUUAUUAAAUUGUAAAAAAAAAAAAAAAAAAAAGAAAACUAAUGGAAAUCACUUACUGUAGUGUGGGAAAAAAAAGACUUAAAUAAGAGUGUAAAAAAAAGAUAAAUAAAAAUUCACUUUUUAAUAAAAAAAAAUACUUGAAAUUAAAAGUGACUUAAAUAAAAGUGAAAAAAAAUGUAUUUGUAUUUUUUUCACUUUAAGUCCAUUUUAAUUUUAUUUUUUCCACUCUAAGCAUUUUUUUAUUAUGUAUUUUUAUUAGUGUAAAAAAAAACGAACAAUCACUGUAAAAAAAAAUGUAAUCAAAUCGACUCAAAUAAUAAGUGUAAAAAAAUUAAUAAAUAAAAUGGACUUAAAUAAGAAUGUAAAAAAAAGAUAAAUAAAAAUAGGAUUCACUUACUGUAUAUUUAAAAAAAAUUAAAAACGUUAGAAAAAAUAACUUGAAUAAAAAUGCGUAAUGGCCAUUGGAAAAUGUGGGUCCCAGGUUGAGACCAUUGGAGAACCCCUGUGUGAGAGGAUCUUUAACUCAAGGUUUUUUUCUUGCAGUAUGUCCUUAAAAUCAGUCAAAUGCUCCUGUCAGAGAGAAUCUUUCAGGCGCGUUUUCGUCCUAAAAAUAGCAGACUCCUAUCCUAUUAAGCACCUGUCAUACUACUGUUUUUUGCAGUAGGUCCUGAAAAACAGCAGAGGGCUCCUGUCAUUUAGGGUCUUUGACUAGCAUUUUUGCGGCAGACUUUUAAAAACAGCAAAGCACCCUAGUUAUGUGAUCUUUGUCUAAUUUUUGCAGUAGAUUUCUAAAAAUAGCAGAGCGCUUCUGCUAUAUAGAGGAUAUCUGAUGAUUAUUUUUGCAGUAGGUCCUUAAAAACAGCAGAGUGUUGCUGUCAUAUGGAGGAUCUUUGACAGGCAUUUUUGCGGUAGGUCCUUAAAAAUAGCAGAGCGCUGUUGUCAUAUCGAAGAUGCCUAAAAACAGCAGAGUACCAUAUCAGGUAUCUAUCAUUUAGAGGAUCUAUGAGCUGUGUUUUUGCAGUAGGUCCUUAAAACAGCAGAGCACUAAUGUUUUAUAGAGGAUCUUUGACUAGUGUUUUUGCAGUAUAUUCCUCCCAAAAAAAGCAGAGUACUCUUGUGUUAAAGAGGAGCUGUUUUUUUGCAGUAGGCCCUUAAAAACAACAAGAGCAUUCAAAUAGAGGAUCUUUGACCAGCCUUUUUGCAGUCGGUCCUCAACAAUAGCAGAGCGCUGUUGCCAUAUAGAAGAUCUUUGAGAUGCAUUUUUGUCGGAAGGUGCUUAAAAACAGCAGACUCCUUUCGUAUUGAGCAUCUAUUAUAUAGAGGAUCUUUGACCUGUGGUUUUUGCUGCAAGUCCUUAUAAGCAGCAGGGCACUCAUGUCUUAUAGAGGGUCUUUGACUUGUGUUUUUGCAGCAUAUCUCAAAAAAAAGAGCGGAGCACUCCUAUCUUAAAAAGGAUCUUUGACUGAGUUUUUUUGUUUGUUUUUGUCCUAGGUCCUUAAAAACAGCCAAACUCUACUGUCUAGAGCACAGGUGUCAAACUCAAGGCCUGGGGGCCGGAUUUGGCCCGCCAUAUCAUUUUAUGUGGCCCGCGAAAGCCUUGAAAUAGUGCAUGUCAAAAGGACACUUAUUUUAAUAUUUAAAAAAAUAUUUGUGUAUCUAUUGUAAUUUUGUUAUUGAUAGUAAUUUUGUCUUUGCUUUUUUAAGCUUUAUUUUCUAUAUUUUACUUGCAUACUAUUGUAAAAUUAUAUUUAUAUUGUAUUUUUAUAUGUAUGCGGUAUGCUAUAAUUUUAUAUUUUUUUAUUUAAUAUAAAUGUAUUUAAAUAAGUAAAAAAAAAAUUGUAUAUAAAAAUAUUUUUACAAUAAUAUCAAAAAAUGUAAUAUUUAAAACAUUUGUACAGUAAUUUAAUAAACAUUUACCGUUACAUUUGCAAUAAAUAAUAAAAUUAUAUAUUAAAGUAAAAACUAAAUUAAUAUUACUAACAAAAACAACUUUAAUUUUUUUUUUAAUCAAAAAGACAACUUUUCUUGCUAAAUGUAUUUGUUGUCAAUAUUGACCGAGAACAGUAGAAAAAAUUGUUUUUUGUUGCCAAAUCCAACUUAUGACUUUUUUUUAAUUAAUGAAAAAUUUAUGUAAUAAUUAACAAAAUUCUAAAAUAGAAUUAUAAAAAGUGGCCCUCUGAGGAUAACCAUAACUGUGAUGUGGCCCACGGUGAAAACGAGUUUGACGCCACUGGUCUAGAGGAUCUUUGAUGUUUUUUUUGCGGAAGGUGCCUGAAAACAAGACCCCUCCUCAGACUCACAUUAAGCACCUAUGACAUAGAGGAUCUUUGACUCGUGUUUUUGCAGUAGGUCCAUAAAAACGGAGGAGGCUUCCUGUCAUUUGGAGAAUCUUUGACUGGCAUUUUUGCAGCAGAUGUUUAAAACCAGCAAAGCACUCCCGUUACCUGAUCUUUGCCUAGUUUUUACAGCAAAUUUCUAAAAACAGCUCUGGUCACUUUGAAGAUCUCAGUAGGUCCUUAAAAACAGGAAAGCACUCCUUCUAUCUUUGACUGGAGGAUCAUUUUUGUAGUAGGUCCUUAAAAGCAGCUGAGUGCUCUUGGUGUAGAGGAUCUUUGAGUAGUGCUUUUGUAAUAAUUGACACCGCACUGGAGUGCCAAGAAGAAGAAAAUGACUAUUAGAAGAAAACGUGCUGUAAACACCAGCGGAGCCUUGAUCAGUAUGAUGUGAAUUUGGUUUAAAUUGUAUUUUGUUCCAGUGAGAUAACGAACAUUCUGGGGUUUUUUGUCUUCAGGGGACGUCUGCGUAGAUGUUUGGACCUGCACUGGUGUCUCAGACUGUCCUUUGGGGUGAGGUAGUAAGUUGUAUAGUUUUAGGGUCACACCCUUCCUGUCAGAUAACUAUACAACUUACUGUCUUUCCUGAAGCGGCUGGAAUGUCUUCUCAGCAACAGUUUGUUACGCUGCAGCACCCCGCCGUGGUGGAUGAGUGUAACUGCACCUUGAUCGAUGUUUGCUCUCUAUGACCUUUCAGUGUUGCACUUCUUUAUUACCGCAGCCAAGCAUGAUGUCAUUGCUGCUUUGUUCUUCUAAGUGAUUGUGUUAGUCCUAGUUUGAGGUCAUGUGACAUAACCAAGAGAAGACUUCCUGGUGUUCGUACGGGGUGAGGUAGUAGGUUGUGUGGUUUCAGGGUAGUGAUUUUGCCCAAUCAGGAGAUAACUAUACAACCUACUGCCUUCCCUGAAGGGCAGCAAUACGUCACCAGGUGCCAAGCCAAGCCAAGCCAAGCCAAGCCCAGCCAAGCCAAGCCAAGCCAAGCCCAGCCCCCACUCUAGCAGCUGCACGUGCAGGGUGGAGACGGACGUCCUUUGCAUUCCCUUUCGCUGAUGCAGCAUGAUGUACUGUGUGAGACGACGUCUUCGUGUCCUUCCUGUCUGUCGUGUCUGUCGCGGUUACGAGUCUAAAGGGACCAAAAGGGACGGGUGAAAAGGCCUCUUCAUGAUGAGGUCAUAGGUCAUCUUAUAGACUGAGGCUUGAGACACUUUGAUUUGUGCUGAAAUACAAUGGUUUCAAGUAUGACCUGCGAUUGGAUAUUUAUUGAUUUGUGCUGAAAUACAAUGGUUUCAAGUAUGACCUGCGACUGGAUAUUUACUGACUCCGUAACAAGCAAUAGUAGCUUUAAAUUAAAAAAACAACAACAACGUAAGACUGUGGCAGAGUAGCAACAGCGUCAUCUAGUGUACGUCUCUUGACACGUCCUGUUAUUAAAGUCACCCGUCAUUAUUUCUGCUAAUGGCCUUUAAUGCCUAUUUCCCUUGGACAUUUAUCUUCGGCACGAGAAGUGUUAGUAUUAUUAUUGCUAGGAGUAUUUCCUAGGGUAUGAACUUGAAAAAAAAAUACAUACUGUAGUUGUUCUUUAGUCACUCUUGAACAAGUUAUACUCAUUUUCAUUAGCUCUGCUAAUGACUUUUGACUGGUAAUGCCUGUUCCCUUAUUAAUGUAAACAAGUACAGGAUUAAAUUAUUUAAUUUAUGAUAAUACCGUAAAUCACGGUGUAUAAACCGCACCCCCAAUUCAGGCUCACGGCGGGGAAACUUUUUUUUUUUUUACUUCAUAAAUGCUUGCCAACUCUUUCAUCUCAAAUCAACAUGCGUAAAGGUACUAAGCAAUUUCAAGAAGAAGAAAGGAGAAAUCUGCCGUCCAUCAAUUCAUCUGCAAUGGAAUUCAUGUAAGAAAAGUUUGCCGUUAACUUGCCGAUGAUGUCCGCUCUCCCACGCCGGAUGACUGACUCGUCCACACCGUGCUGCCGUCCUGCUGCCCGGUUCCCAAAGUCUUCUGCAUACCGGCAGACGGAGAGUUUGAAUGCUGCUGUGAAAGAUCGCCGUGGCAUUUUAGCUUUAGCUGCUUUAGCUUUAGCCUUGAUUUAACGGUAGCUAAUGUUGGUUUAGCGGUGACGCGAGCGGGGUUCUGCGCAUGCGCAUCAGUUAUCCAUGUAUUGUACAUAACACUGCAUUGCUUCAGUGUGAAUUUGAAUAAACUCCAACGUUGUAUUGUAUUUUAAACCAUCUGCAAUGUUUUAAUGGAAGCUAAGGUUAGCUUCAGUGUAUAUAGAGAUCGUUUCACUGUGUGAAAAUACAAACAGCAGUCAGAUAAGUGAAAAAGAAAUUGCACUUUUAGCAACUAUACGGCAGAGGGCGCUAAAGUCAAAGCAACUGUCUGACCCACAGACGGCUAUUCUAAAGUCUUCUUCUGGUCAAUUUCUGUCUGGUCACAGACUUGUCAUCGUGUAUAAAUCGCACCCCGAUUUUUGGCGUCUUACCGGUGGGAAAAAAGCGCGGUUAUACAACGUUAUUUACGGUAAUAAGCAUAAUAACUAAAUAACUUAUUAAUACUUAUUAAUUACCAGUUUUUAAUUAAAUUGUAUUCAUUAUUUUUAAUCACCAAAGUUGUACUUGUAUUAUUUCUACGAAUGAUGAUUUAAAAUUGAAUGUAAUGAAUGUAAUUUUUGUUAUUUUAUUUAU